AAUUCGAAGCAACGCGAAGAACCUUACCAGGGCUUGACAUGCCGCUGACCGGUGCAGAGAUGCAUCUUUAGUCCUUCGGGGUACAGCGGACACAGGUGGUGCAUGGUUGUCGUCAGCUCGUGUCGUGAGAUGUUGGGUUAAGUCCCGCAACGAGCGCAACCCUUGUCUUAGUUGCCAUCAUUAAGUUGGGCACUCUAAAGAGACUGCCGAUGACAAAUCGGAGGAAGGUGGGGAUGACGUCAAAUCAUCAUGCCCUUUAUGUCCUGGGCUACACACGUGCUACAAUGGUCGGUACAACGAGAAGCAAGCCAGCGAUGGCAAGCAAAUCUCUAAAAGCCGAUCCCAGUUCGGAUUGCAGGCUGCAACUCGCCUGCAUGAAGUCGGAAUCGCUAGUAAUCGCGGAUCAGCACGCCGCGGUGAAUACGUUCCCGGGCCUU
rnacentral:rRNA from 2 species